CCGCAUGCAGGGGGAUACCGGCUGGAAACAGCCGCUAAUACCGCAUAUGCGCACAGCGCCGCAUGGCGCAGUGCGGAAAGGGAGCAAUCCCGGCAUGCGAUGGGUCCGCGUCCGAUUAGCUUGUUGGCGGGGCAGCGGCCCACCAAGGCGACGAUCAGUAGCCGGCCUGAGAGGGCGGACGGCCACAUUGGGACUGAGACACGGCCCAGACUCCUACGGAAGGCAGCAG
rnacentral:rRNA from 1 species